rnacentral:rRNA from 1 species
UACGAGGGGUGCAAGCGUUGUUCGGAAUCACUGGGCGUAAAGCGAGUCUAGGCGGAUUAGUCAGUCGGGUGUGAAAGCCCCAGGCUCAACCUGGGAUGUGCAUUCGAUACUGCUAGUCUUGAGUCAUGGAGAGAUGGACGGAAUUCCGGGUGUAGCAGUGAAAUGCGUAGAUAUCCGGAGGAACAUCAGAGGCGAAAGCGGUUCAUUGGCCAUGUACUGACGCUAAAGCUCGAAAGCGUGGGUAGCAAACAGG